rnacentral:rRNA from 1 species
CCCUGCCAUUUGUACACACCGCCCGUCGCACCUACCGAUUGAAUGAUUCGGUUAAAAUCUCGGACCGAAGCUAAGAUACCCUCGGGUGACUUGGUCUUGGGAAGUUAUUUAAACCUCAUCAUUUAGAGGAAGGUGAAGUCGUAACAAGGU